GGACGAACGCUGGCGGCGUGCUUAACACAUGCAAGUCGAGCGGUAAGGCCCUUUCGGGGGGUACACGAGCGGCGAACGGGUGAGUAACACGUGGGUGACCUGCCCUUAGCUCUGGGAUAAGCCUGGGAAACUGGGUCUAAUACCGGAUAUGACUCCAUGACGCAUGUUGUGGGGGUGGAAAGCCUUGUGCGGCUAGGGAUGGGCCCGCGGCCUAUCAGCUUGUUGGUGGGGUGAUGGCCUACCAAGGCGACGACGGGUAGCCGGCCUGAGAGGGCGACCGGCCACACUGGGACUGAGACACGGCCCAGACUCCUACGGGAGGCAGCAGUGGGGAAUCUUGCGCAAUGGGCGAAAGCCUGACGCAGCGACGCCGCGUGAGGGAUGACGGCCUCG
rnacentral:rRNA from 1 species